rnacentral:lncRNA from 1 species
AAGCAACCCAGAGCCCUCCUCCCGCCUGCUCUGUGUAGGAGACAGCCUGCGGAGCCCACUGCCGGCGCGCAGAGAGCCCAGCAGCUCUUGAGUCCAGGAAGCAAGGGUGGGAGGAGGGACGAGCCAGUGGCAAUGACCCAGACCCGGACGACCCCCAUUGCUGAGCCAGCGGAGCUGCUUGGGUCCACGAGGCUGGUGUCAGACCUAUUGGGAGACCCUCUGCGUUAGUGAGAAAAACGGCAAGAAAUGGGAGCACGCGGAAACCUCCAAGACUAGAGCCACCAGAUGCCACCGACAGCACGCAGCUGGACCAGCACGGGGGAGGGCCUUCGUGGGUCGAGAGCUCGCUCGGGAGAUAGUUGGUGCUUUUCUUUCAGGAGAAGAAUCCCUGGCGGAGUCUGACCGUUCUCUGGCGCACAGCCCCGGGGGUGGGCACAGCAGCCGCCCCUGCUGAAGGGACUGACGCCUCCGACGACCAGCAGCCAAGUUAAACGCACUGUUCCGUGAGCAGCUUUGUUGGAGACAGCGCGGUUCACAUUCUCUUCCAACGGAGCCGCUGACUGCGGAGCUGGGAGGGGACGUGACAGAACCCAGCCAUCCAACGUCCCCCCACCCCUCCCCAGCUGGGACCUCCGGCUGCUUCCGGGCUGCGCUGGGUGGCGUCAAGGAGCCGCCCCUCUGGGCCGCGUCCCUCCCUCACGCCCUGCACACUGGCCCUGUGUGGCCGGCGGGGCGCCUAAAAGGGCGGAAGGAUGCAGGGGCGGAGGGGGCUCGGGAUUGCACGCCUAGCUCAGACCCCCCAGCCAGGACCCCUCGCGCUGUUGGACACGCCAGCCUCCCGACCCUGCGGCUCCUACGGGAGGUGACAAGGACCCUGCCAACCUGGCCUGAAUGGCCCAGUUUGAUACAGAUCAGGUUUUCAAUGAAUGAGACCGCGGUGUGGUCUAGGCGGAGGGAUGAGAGGAGGGGAUUCUGCUGGGAUAAGUGGGGGCGGGGUAAGGAGGGGAUUCUUUUCCUGGGCUGAGGAGAACGCAGGGACAAAGUACACAGGGGUAGUUGAGUGAGCAGGUGAGGCCCUAGGCUGGUUCCCCACCUUCUCAGGAUCGGAGCCACUCACUUCCUGGUACUCUCUGCAGUCUCCUGGCGUUAAAUAACAUCCCUUUGCUGGAGACUCUGGAUUCACAUCCAUAAUCGCAGCCUCCCCUACUCAUCCCCUCACGCUUCCCAUGAACUAACCUUGAAGGACCCGACCAGAGCCCUGACCUCCGUCCCACACACCUGCUACAUGGAAGGUGUUCUCCACAUCAGUUCAAGGCAGUGUCACUCUUCAGGAUGUUCAGGCUCUAAACCUUGGACUCCUCCUCCAGAUUUCUCUCUCCUUCCUUCUCCUUGUCUCUCCCUUGCACUUACGGUUCACUUUUCCUUCGUAGCUUUGUAGCUCAUUCCCCCUUCCACUUUCCACACCACCUUCUGGUCUGUUAAUUAAAUAUUACCUGGUUUCCACUGACACCUUCCCUGGGUUCCCAAUUGAAAAUCACAACAUCAUCCUCCUCCUCUGCUUUUUUUCUCCAAAUUAUAUCCUCACCCAAUUAUGUGUUAUUCUCAUUAAUCUUGCUUAAUUAAUUAGCAGACAUUAUUAAUGCCUGUUUCCCCUAUCACCACCACUAGACUAUGAACUCCUAAGGACUCCUUCCUUCCACCACUGUUGUACUCGCUUCACCUAGAACUGCUUGGCACAUACAAUGUGCUCCAUAAAUAUUUGUUGAAUGAAAGACUAGACACAACUUAGGAUUCACUCCCCCAUGUGGCAUCCAUAAGCCCUGUAUGCAGGUAAAAUGUCAGUGGGUUGACUAAAUACUGGAAGUGGAAAAAACUUCACCUCUUUGGUUUGCAGUUGUCUAGGAUAUUUAGGCCAAUGGAAAAUCCAGUUUUCCUUAGAAUUAAGCCAGUGCCGCCAGACUUGCCAGUUUACCAUGCUUGUCUGACUGGUCCUCAGCAUGGGUCAUACGUGUCCAAUGAAUUCAAACAAAAUCUUGAGAAGACACGAACCUUGCCCUUCGGCUGGGCGCGGUGGCUCACGCCUGUAAUCCCAGCACUUUGGGAGGCCGAGGCAGGCGGAUCACGAGGUCAGGAGAUCGAGACCAUCCUGGCUAACAUGGUGAAACCCCGUCUCUACUAAAAAUACAAAAAAUUAGCCGAGCGUGGUGGCGGGCGCCUGUAGUCCCAGCUACUCAGGAGGCUGAGGCAGGAGAAUGGCGUGAACCCGGGAGGCGGAGCUUGCAGUGAGUGAGCCGAGAUCGCACCCCUGCACUCCAGCCUGGGCGACAGAGCGAGACUCCGUAAAAAAACAAAAAAAAAACCUUGCCCUUCAUUCCCCAUUUCUAUCAUAAUCUACACAGAGUUUUGAACAGGCAUUUUAAAAUCAACAAUAUAUUAUUUACAAUUUUGUUAGUAUACAUAACUCUAACUCACUGUUAAAAAUCACCUGUCUUUAUAUCCAUUAAAUGACACUUGCAUAUGCUCCAA